rfam:Brassica rapa chromosome A1, whole genome shotgun sequence.
AAUUGAUCGUUCGAUUCAUAAUCUGAGUCUAACUCAGAAAUUGAUAGUGUUAACAUAAGCUUUGUGUCUGGUUUAUGCCUUCAGAUUUUAGUUAAACCAGAACACCAAAUUA